AAUCAAUUAGGUCAAACAAUUUGCAUUAUCAUUAGCACAAAUUCUCCAACUCAAACAAGCUUGACAGAAUAAGCUCUGGAUAAUUUCCAUUCACACUGCUUUUAGUAUACUUAAAUCUUUUUAUUCCCAGCAAAAGAUGGAAUGGCAUACAACCAGUAAUGAGCGAUAUCUUCCACAACAAAAUGCUGAUAAAUUAUCAAAAUAAUUCAACCAAACUAAGUUCAGUUCAAUGCUAUCCUUAAAAAGAAAUGCCACCACUAACUCGUCCCAUGAUUAAAGUUAAAGAAAAGGUAGAAAUGUUGAAACUAACUUUUGUUCUUGAGAGACUUUCUUAGCUUCCUCAACUUGUGCCUGUUCAUCUUUCUUUUCCUCUUCUUCUUCACACUAUCAGCCCAGAUAGUUAGAGGACUCUCAGAAACGGUUUCGUCAUCAGGUUCAGAUCGAAUUGACCCGAUUGAAGAAAAAACUGGGUGCAGAAAAAACCCAAAAGAAAAGCUCGGGUAGAAAUGUGAAGAAAUGGAAGGAUAUAAUCUUGAAUUCGCUAUUUUCUGAUGACCGGAAAGGGGGAUUUCAUCAGCUAAUAUAGUGGGUUCGGAGAUUUGGGUAAGCAGAUAUGCUGGCGGUAAUGACGGAUGGCUGAUCAAUUUUGUGGCGUAUAGAGACUGACUUCUCAAGAAUUUUUGGAAGAUUGAAGCAGCCAUUUGCUGACUAUAAAAAAAUUGAGAGAGCGGUAGAAAAUUGAAAGAGGGGAAGAAAAAAAUGUUUGUUAGGGUGUCGGAAUAGUGGUUUUUUGGGUAAUUUCACCGCCAAUUUCAAGACAUAAACGAUUACUUUCAACAAAUGUUUAAGUGACUAUUGAAUUUUGCUAUAAACGUUU
rnacentral:lncRNA from 1 species